GAUGAACGCUGGCGGCGUGCCUAAUACAUGCAAGUCGAGCGAACGGACGAGAAGCUUGCUUCUCUGAUGUUAGCGGCGGACGGGUGAGUAACACGUGGAUAACCUACCUAUAAGACUGGGAUAACUUCGGGAAACCGGAGCUAAUACCGGAUGAUAUUUUGAACCGCAUGGUUCAAUAGUGAAAGACGGUCUUGCUGUCACUUAUAGAUGGAUCCGCGCUGCAUUAGCUAGUUGGUAAGGUAACGGCUUACCAAGGCAACGAUGCAUAGCCGACCUGAGAGGGUGAUCGGCCACACUGGAACUGAGACACGGUCCAGACUCCUACGGGAGGCAGCAGUAGGGAAUCUUCCGCAGUGGGCGAAAGCCUGACGGAGCAACGCCGCGUGAGUGAUGAAGGUCUUCAGAUCGUAAAACUCUGUUAUUAGGGAAGAACAUAUGUGUAAGUAACUGUGCACAUCUUGACGGUACCUAAUCAGAAAGCCACGGCUAACUACGUG
rnacentral:rRNA from 1 species